UUUCUUUUCUUUUCUUUUUUCUUUUUCUUUUUCUUUUUUUUUUUUUUUUUUUUGAUGUAGUAUCACUCUGUCAUCCAGGCUUGGAGUGUACAGUGGUGCAAUCUUGGCUCACUGCAAUCUUUGUGUCCCUGGUUCAAGCGAUUCCUGUGCCUCGGCCUCCCAAGUAGCUGAGACUACAGGCACGUGCCACCAUGCCCAGCUAAUUUUUAUAUUUUUAGCAGAGAUGGGGUUUUGUCAUGUUGGCCAGGCUGGUCUUGAACUCCUGACCUCAGGUGAUCCACCUGCCUUGGCCUCACAAAGUGCUGGGAUUACAGGCAUGAGCCACCAUGCCCGGCCUCAAGAAUCUGUUUUUCAUGGGUUAUCUACUGUUUCAUUACAACAAUCAUCUUGUGAGUUAGGUAUUAUCCCCAUUUUACACCCAGAGAAACUAAGCCUUAGAAAGGUUACUAAGGAUACACACACACACACACACAGACACUUUUAAUAUGUAGACAGGAUAUUAUGGCAUUUACUACACUAUAAGUCAUCAUCAGCUUCCCUGCUAGACUGCGCACUUCGUAAGAA
rnacentral:antisense_RNA from 1 species